CGUGGAGACAGGUGGUGCAUGGCUGUCGUCAGCUCGUGUCGUGAGAUGUUGGGUUAAGUCCCGCAACGAGCGCAACCCUCACCCCUAGUUGCCACCGGGUUAAGCCGAGCACUCAAGGGGAACUGCCAGCGUCAAGCUGGAGGAAGGCGGGGAUGACGUCAAGUCAUCAUGCCCCUUACGCCCUGGGCUACACACGUGCUACAAUGGCCAGUACAAAGGGACGCGAGACUGCGAAGUGGAGCUAAUCCCAAAAAGCUGGUCUAAGCUCAGAUUGCAGUCUGCAACUCGACUGUAUGAAGGAGGAAUCGCUAGUAAUCGCGUAUCAGCCCGGCGCGGUGAAUACGUUCCCGGGCCUUGUACACACCGCCCGUCACACCACGAAAGCUGUCUGUACUCGAAGUCGCUGAG
rnacentral:rRNA from 1 species